UAGGACGAGUCCGGCCCCUCCAUCGUCCACCACAAAUGCUUCUAGGCUGACUGUGACUUAGUUGCAUUACACCCUUUCUUGACAAAACCUAACUUGCACAGAAAACACGAUGAGAUUGGCAUGGCUUUAUUUGUUUUUGUUUUUGUUUGUUUGUUUGUUUUGGCUUGACUCAGGAUUUAAAAACUGGAACGGUGAAGGUGACAGCAGUUGGUUGGAGCGAGCAUCCCC
rnacentral:lncRNA from 10 species